rnacentral:lncRNA from 1 species
CACUAAUCUGUAUAAUUUCUUGUUACUGCAGUUGGGGAAAAAAAUUUAUGUGAGUUGUUGGAGUUUUGGUUCGUUGAUUUGCUAAUGGAUAGAUAUUUUGCUCGAACUACGGUUGAAUCAAGUGAAAAGAGAGCCAGAAUUGAUAGUAAUGUGGCAUCUGAUGAUGUUGUUAGUGAUCCAGCUUUGCGCAAAUCCAUCAAUGAUUAUGAG